ACCAACUCCAUUUCCUCUUCUUCUAUACAAGUUAGAUUAGAGUUCACAAGUUCCUUGCUGGGCUUGAUGAAGACAAAAGUGUUAACAUUGGAAGCCAUGUGUUGAAGAUGGUGUAGCUGUAAAAUGGAAGGGUACUAGAUCUUGGAGCUACGACUUGGAGAAGAACUCAUUGAUCAAGACUUUACAUGACUGCAUGUAAGACUGGCCUUUCUCUAGUGUGAUGACGCCUUCAGCUGAGCUGUGGUUGGCGAAGACAAAGAUCAUCACCAGUGACCACUCCCCUGGGUUUGAAGUUUUUCCUGCCCCCCCCCCCAAAAUUGGAGGAAACAAGCCAAUGACAGAGCACAGAAGGGCUUUCUAGAAAGUCGAUUCCAAAUUUCACGUUCCAAAUUUCAGUCGAAAGCUCAGUAUGGAAGAGGAGCAGGAAUAAUAUGAGGAAAACUUAUUGGCGACAACUUGCACAGGGGUGGAGCUGGGUGCUCUGCAGCCUGAUGCUGAUACAAUUUUGAGGACCCUCCUUGAGGAAAAUAAUGCAAAAUUAAGCCUGAAA